rnacentral:rRNA from 1 species
CAACCUGGGAACUGCAUUCGAAACUGGCAGGCUUGAGUCUUGUAGAGGGGGGUAGAAUUCCAGGUGUAGCGGUGAAAUGCGUAGAGAUCUGGAGGAAUACCGGUGGCGAAGGCGGCCCCCUGGACAAAGACUGACGCUCAGGUGCGAAAGCGUGGGGAGCAAACAGGAUUAGAUACCCUGGUAGUCCACGCCGUAAACGAUGUCUACUUGGAGGUUGUGCCCUUGAGGCGUGGCUUCCGGAGCUAACGCGUUAAGUAGACCGCCUGGGGAGUACGGCCGCAAGGUUAAAACUCAAAUGAAUUGACGGGGGCCCGCACAAGCGGUGGAGCAUGUGGUUUAAUUCGAUGCAACGCGAAGAACCUUACCUGGUCUUGACAUCCACAGAAGAAUCCAGAGAUGGAUUUGUGCCU